AAGUCGUAACAAGGUUUCCGUAGGUGAACCUGCGGAAGGAUCAUUACCAUAUCCAAAACUUUACCAACCCACCGUGUGAACUGUUUGUAUGCUGUGGCCUGUAAAAAAGGCCCGGCAUCCAAUUUUUCCAUGUUUCUCCAUUCUGUGGGGAAGCAUGGAGCCCUAUGUAUAAACUCUUUUUUAAACCGACCAUUGAAAACUUGAUGUAGUUUUUCUUCUUCGGGAGAAGAACCACUGCCAAAACAAACCAAUAGACAACUUACAACGGUGGAUCUCUUGGCUCGU
rnacentral:misc_RNA from 1 species